rnacentral:rRNA from 1 species
UACGUAGGGGGCAAGCGUUGUCCGGAAUCAUUGGGCGUAAAGAGCGCGUAGGCGGUCCGGUAAGUCCGCUCUGAAAGUCCGGGGCUCAACCCCGGGAGGCGGGCGGAUACUGUCGGGCUAGAGUCCGGAAGAGGCGAGUGGAAUUCCUGGUGUAGCGGUGAAAUGCGCAGAUAUCAGGAGGAACACCAAUGGCGAAGGCAGCUCGCUGGGACGUGACUGACGCUGAGACGCGAAAGCGUGGGGAGCAAACAGG